UACAGAGGCCCCAAGCGUUACUGAGAAUCACUGGGUUUAAAGGGUGCGUAGGUGGCGCGUUAAGUCCGUUGUGAAAGCCCUGGGCUCAACCCAGGAACUGCUUCGGAUACUGGCGCGCUUGAGGCUAGUAGGGGUCACUGGAACUGACGGUGGAGCGGUGAAAUGCGUAGAUAUCGUCAGGAACGCCAAUGGUGAAGACAGGUGACUGGGCUAGUUCUGACACUGAGAGACGAAAGCUAGGGGAGCAAAUGGG
rnacentral:rRNA from 1 species